UACAGAGGGUGCAAGCGUUGUUCGGAUUUACUGGGCGUAAAGGGCGCGUAGGCGGCCACCGCAAGUCGACUGUGAAAUCUCCGGGCUUAACUCGGAAAGGUCAGCCGAUACUGCGGGGCUAGAGUGCAGAAGGGGCAACUGGAAUUCUCGGUGUAGCGGUGAAAUGCGUAGAUAUCGAGAGGAACACCUGCGGCGAAGGCGGGUUGCUGGGCUGACACUGACGCUGAUUGUGCGAAAGCUAGGGGAGCGAACGGG
rnacentral:rRNA from 1 species